rnacentral:rRNA from 1 species
CGGAGGGAUCAUUAUCGAGUUACCGCUCCUUAUAACCCUUUGUGAACAUACCCCAAACGUUGCCUCGGCGGGCAGCCGGAGCCCAGCUCCGGCGCCCGGAGCCGCCGUCUCGGCGCGCCCCACCCGCCGGCGGACCACUAAACUCUAUUUAAACGACGUCUCUUCUGAGUGGCACAAGCAAAUAAUCAAAACUUUUAACAACGGAUCUCUUGGUUCUGGCAUCGAUGAAGAACGCAGCGAAAUGCGAUAAGUAAUGUGAAUUGCAGAAUUCAGUGAAUCAUCGAAUCUUUGAACGCACAUUGCGCCCGCCAGCAUUCUGGCGGGCAUGCCUGUUCGAGCGUCAUUUCAACCCUCAAGCACCGCUUGGCGUUGGGGCCCUACGGCUUCCGUAGGCCCCGAAAUACAGUGGCGGACCCUCCCGGAGCCUCCUUUGCGUAGUAACAUACCACCUCGCACUGGGAUCCGGAGGGACUCCUGCCGUAAAACCCCCCAAUUUUCCAAAGGUUGACCUCGGAUCAGGUAGGAAUACCCGCUGAACUUAAGCAUAUCAAUAAGCGGAGGAAAAGAAACCAACAGGGAUUGCCUCAGUAACGGCGAGUGAAGCGGCAACAGCU